rnacentral:misc_RNA from 1 species
CCGUAGCAGCCGAAGCGUCGUCACGCGUUGUCAGGAGCGGCAUCGAUGGUAGCGCGUAGAUCCCGGCGAAGAAAAAAACAAAGCCAGCGAGGCGGGAGAGAGGGAAAUAAAUACAUUGCGGCUUUCAAUCAGUCACCACGGCGGUUCAUCCGUCGCAGUACUCAUUCAACUUCCAACCACGAAGGGUAGGAGUUAUACAUGGC